UACACAUGCAGUCGAACGGUAGCACAGAGGAGCUUGCUCUUGGGGUGACGAGUGGCGGACGGGUGAGUAAUGUCUGGGAAACUGCCCGAUGGAGGGGGAUAACUACUGGAAACGGUAGCUAAUACCGCAUAACGUCGCAAGACAAAGAGGGGGACCUUCGGGCCUCUUGCCAUCGGAUGUGCCCAGAUGGGAUUAGCUAGUAGGUGGGGUAACGGCUCACCUAGGCGACGAUCCCUAGCUGGUCUGAGAGGAUGACCAGCCACACUGGAACUGAGACACGGUCCAGACUCCUACGGGAGGCAGCAGUGGGGAAUAUUGCACAAUGGGCGCA
rnacentral:rRNA from 1 species